rnacentral:rRNA from 1 species
GACGAACCGUGCGAACGUUGUUCGGAUUCAUUGGGCUUAAAGGGCGCGUAGGCGGCCGCUCAAGUCGGGGGUGAAAUCUUUCAGCUCAACUGGAAAAUAGCCUCCGAUACUGGGCGGCUGGAGGGAGAUAGGGGUGCGCGGAACUUCCGGUGGAGCGGUGAAAUGCGUAGAUAUCGGAAGGAACGCCGGUGGCGAAAGCGGCGCACUGGGCAGUAACUGACGCUGAGGAGCGAAAGCGUGGGGAGCGAACAGG